AUUGAACGCUGGCGGGAUGCCUUACACAUGCAAGUCGAACGGAGUGGCGAACGGGUACGUGAGAGAUCGGACCGUGCCCCUUCGCGGGGGAUAACUACGAGAACGCGUAACGAAUACUGCAUACUAUUGGCGCGGGCGAUGUCGGAUUGGCUAGUGGGUGGGGUAACGGCUAACCAAGGCGACGAUCCGUAGCUGGUUUGAGAGGACGACCAGCCACACUGGGACUGAGACACGGCCCAGACUCCUACGGGAGGCAGCAGUGGGGAAUUUUGGACAAUGGGGGAAACCCUGAUGCAGCCAUGCCGCGUGUGUGAAGAAGGCCUUCGGGUUGUAAAGCACUUUUGGCAGGAAAGCGGUACCUGCAGAAGAAGCACCGGCUAACUACGUGCCAGCAGCCGCGGUAAUUC
rnacentral:rRNA from 1 species